rnacentral:rRNA from 1 species
GGGUCAGUAGGUUGGUCGUGCCACCGGUACGUACUGGUCUCACUGAUUCCUCCUUCCUGAAGAACCGUAAUGCCAUUAAUUUGGUGUUGCGGGGAAACAGGACUGUUACUUUGAAAAAAUUGGAGUGUUUAAAGCAAGCCAACGCUUGAAUACAUUAGCAUGGAAUAAUGAAAUAGGACGAUCGAUCCUAUUUUGUUGGUUUCUAGGAUUGACGUA